rnacentral:RNase_P_RNA from 1 species
CCUGGGCGGCGCGAGUCGACGGAAAGUGCAACAGAAAGAUACCGCCUAUGUCGGAGCAAUCUGGCAGGCAAGGGUGAAAUGGUGCGGUAAGAGCGCACCGCGAGCCUGGCAACAGGCCGGCAUGGCAAACCCCACCGGGAGCAAGGCCAAAUAGGGACCUCAUGACGCUGCCCGCGUCGGGUCCGGGUAGGCUGCUUGAGCGUACGGGUGACCGUGCGCCUAGAGGAAUGACUGUCGCGGCGCGCGAGCGUCGAACAGGACCCGGCUUAUCGGCCGACUCCGCCA